GAUGAAGAACGCAGCGAAAUGCGAUACGUAAUGUGAAUUGCAGAAUUCAGUGAAUCAUCGAGUCUUUGAACGCACAUUGCGCCCCCUGGUAUUCCGGGGGGCAUGCCUGUCCGAGCGUCAUUGCUGCCCUCAAGCACGGCUUGUGUGUUGGGCCUCCGUCCUCCUCCCGGGUGACGGGCCCGAAAGGCAGCGGCGGCACCGCGUCCGGUCCUCGAGCGUAUGGGGCUUCGUCACCCGCUCUUGUAGGCCCGGCCGGCGCUUGCCGACACAUCAAUCUUUUUUCCAGGUUGACCUCGGAUCAGGUAGGGAUACCCGCUGAACUUAAGCAUAUCAAUAAGCGGAGGA
rnacentral:misc_RNA from 1 species